rnacentral:rRNA from 1 species
AGCCUAGGUCGGAUUAGCUAGUUGGUGAGGUAAUGGCUCACCAAGGCGACGAUCCGUAACUGGUCUGAGAGGAUGAUCAGUCACACUGGAACUGAGACACGGUCCAGACUUCUACGGGAGGCAGCAGUGGGGAAUAUUGGACAAUGGGCGAAAGCCUGAUCCAGCCAUGCCGCGUGUGUGAAGAAGGUCUUCGGAUUGUAAAGCACUUUAAGUUGGGAGGAAGGGCAGUAAAUUAAUACUUUGCUGUUUUGACGUUACCGACAGAAUAAGCACC